CCUGGGGAGUACGGCCGCAAGGUUAAAACUCAAAUGAAUUGACGGGGGCCCGCACAAGCGGUGGAGCAUGUGGUUUAAUUCGAUGCAACGCGAAGAACCUUACCUGGUCUUGACAUCCACAGAACUUAGCAGAGAUGCUUUGGUGCCUUCGGGAACUGUGAGACAGGUGCUGCAUGGCUGUCGUCAGCUCGUGUUGUGAAAUGUUGGGUUAAGUCCCGCAACGAGCGCAACCCUUAUCCUUUGUUGCCAGCGGUCCGGCCGGGAACUCAAAGGAGACUGCCAGUGAUAAACUGGAGGAAGGUGGGGAUGACGUCAAGUCAUCAUGGCCCUUACGACCAGGGCUACACACGUGCUACAAUGGCAUAUACAAAGAGAAGCGACCUCGCGAGAGCAAGCGGACCUCAUAAAGUAUGUCGUAGUCCGGAUUGGAGUCUGCAACUCGACUCCAUGAAGUCGGAAUCGCUAGUAAUCGUAGAUCAGAAUGCUACGGUGAAUACGUUCCCGGGCCUUGUACACACCGCCCGUCACACCAUGGGAGUGGGUUGCAAAAGAAGUAGGUAGCUUAACCUUCGGGAGGGCGCUUACCACUUUGUGAUUCAUGACUGGGGUGAAGUCGUAACAAGGUAACCGUAGGGGAACCUGCGGUUGGAUCACCUCCUUACCUUAAAGAA
rnacentral:rRNA from 1 species